GCGAGAGUGGCGGAACGGUAUACGCACCGGUCUUAGGAGCCGGCGGCCUUAGGCUAUAGGGGUUCAAAUCCCCUCUCUCGCACCA
rnacentral:tRNA from 1 species